rnacentral:rRNA from 1 species
CGACGGGGGCUAGCGUUGUUCGGAAUUACUGGGCGUAAAGCGCACGCAGGCGGUUCGAUUAGUCAGAAGUGAAAGCCCCGGGCUCAACCUGGGAAUUGCUUUUGAUACUGUCGAGCUUGAAUCACGGAGAGGGUAGUGGAAUUCCGAGUGUAGAGGUGAAAUUCGUAGAUAUUCGGAAGAACACCAGUGGCGAAGGCGACUACCUGGCCGUCGAUUGACGCUCAUGUGCGAAAGCGUGGGGAGCAAACAGGAUUAGAUACCCUGGUAGUCCACGCCGUAAACGAUGGGUGCUAGUUGUUGGGGUACAUGUACCUCAGUGACGCAGCUAACGCGUUAAGCACCCCGCCUGGGGAGUACGGCCGCAAGGUUA